GCUGGGCAUGGUGGCAUGUGCCUGUACUCCCAGCUACUUGGGAGGCUGAGGCUGGAGGAUCCCUUGAGCCCAGGAGUUCUAGGCUGCAGUGAGCUAUGAUUGCUCCACUGCACUCCAGCCUGGGUGACAGAGCGAGACCCUGUCUGAA
rnacentral:SRP_RNA from 1 species